GCAGCCGAACGGUGUUGCCGGGUCCCAGUCCGGAGCAGGUUCGAGAUGGUCACAGAAACAGGAGAGGAGAAAUGGUCCAGGAAGGGAUGUGGACUGUUUAGCUAGAACUAGCUAAUAAGCAGAAGCAAAAGCAAGCAAAGCAGAAAAGCCCAAAGAAAAAGUGAAAACAGCUCUGUGUACUGCCCGUCUCUGUGUCCCUGAUAAGAGAAACCCAAACAAAACUUUCACUCUUCAGUCUUAAAGACAGUCUUAAAAGGCACAGAACAGAUGAAUGGGGAUACAAGCAUCAUAACGUCACCCCAGGAUAUUUUUAGAGCAGUAAGGUCACCCCUGAGCCUCCUUUUCUCCAGACUAAACAACCCUAGGUCCCUCAGCCUCUCCUACUAGGACUUAUCCACUAGAUUUUUAUCCAGCUUCACUGUCCUUCUCUGGACUCACCCCAGCACUUCAAUACCUUCUCUGAAGUGCCUUCCAAGGGACUCUGUCAACUAGGCCAAAGGCUUCCUGACAGAAGUCCAAGCUGGUAGUUCUAACCACAUUCCUUAAUUCUAUCGUUUCAUGAUUACCACGGCCCAGACAUCCUCCAGCCAUUAGCUGCACCAGUUUUACUGCUGUUAAGGCUGUUCUUCACCUCUGUUAAACAAAUUAAACUGUCCCUUCCCUUACUUGUCUUUUGUACUGUCACCAUGUGACUGCCUGAAUAAUUCUGAUUUCAGGGUACUGAGAAUUAUCUGAAUGAAAGAGUUUGAGUUGCAGAGUCCAGUGUCUGCUCUGUCUAAUAGGAGCCCUUGUGAAGAAAACUAAAGCUCCCUCGUGAGGCAGACUUCAGCAGGGCCGUUUGAGGCUCCAGGUUCAUCUAAGGAAUGGGAUAUUGCUGCAGAACCACCUGCAGUACCAAGGAAGCAGACAUACCCAUCAAAUCUCAGCGCAGGCGCAACUGGCAGAAGAUGUGUCUUGUAAGAGGUACUAAUCAAGGAGUUGUGGUCCUUCAGUGUGUCCCUUUCAUCUGGUAAGCAGAGUGGCUUUGUAAGGGCUCAGUGGAAGAACAGACAUGCUGACAGUGAUUCCAGC